UAAUUAAAAUCCUAACAGGUUGCAAAAUCGACUGAUAUAACUAACUGUAGACAAAAAAAAAACACAAAAUUAGCUUAAAUGGGUUUGCACAGUUUUCAUAUUAGACAGAGAUAAAAGGACGUGCGACAUGCGACGUGCUCCUCCGGUUUCAUCAAAUUUCGAAACUGUCUUCCUAAAAAAUUAUUUUACCUUAAUCCCAAUAAUUAACUACCCCUCUUGAAAAAACACUACAACAAAUACAACCAACCGAUGAGGGAGAGAGAAGUCGGAGUAGGCAACAGCGGAGGCAAGUAAUCUUCAUACAUACUGUUGAUUUAUGACAGAUGGAGGGAGGCAAGUAUUCAUCAUACAUAGGACUCUUCACAGUUACAGUAAUACUACCAUUUCGAUUCCAACAAGUUGGUUUUCUUUUUUAUAGUUUGUUCAGGAUUCAAUUUUAUGGGUUAUUUUCAUAAUCUGGCGAUUGGUUUACGGUUUGUGUUGUUCUUUUAAGAAUUUUGAAGGUUCCGAGUUUAUUUUUGGGUAAUUUUGCUUCUGGGUUUAUCUCAGUUCAACUUCAUCAAGUUAGUUUUCCUCUUUACAGUUUGUUCAAGGUUCAAUUAGAUCUUAUGGGGUAUUAUUCAAAUUUAUGCUAAUAGGUUGAGUGUUUCUGUUGUUUUUAAUUUUGGCAUUUUGAAGAGAGAAGUUGGGAGAACUCAUCACCAACAGUUUAGUGUAUGUGAUUCUAAUUUUAGGAAUCUUUGCAGGGCUGAUGUUUUAGAGAAUUGAAGGCUGAAAUGAAACGCAAGGUAAUGGUGUGCAUCUGAGUGAAGCUUGAAUGCAAGGUUUAACUAAUCAGUUUUGCAACUUCAUAUGAUUCUUUUGGAAUCUGCUAUCAGGAAAAAAAAGAUAUGAAAAAAUGUGUAGAAAUAGCAUAUCAAUCCUUUUUAAUCGAGAAUUAUCUACUUUUUACUUUAGUGACAAUUAUUUUCUCGAUUGUUUGGCUACUUAACUCACAUGUUGAUGUGGUGUAUUUCGAGUGCUUUUUGUGGUUGUUUCAGCUUCUCCCAUGUUGUUAUGGACGCUUCUCCGGCGGAUUAUGUUUUUGGAUUCAUCAUCGACAAUUGUCAUAUGUAUUUGCUUGGACAAGGUAACGACGCGAUAUUGAAGGAGAACGAGUGAGCGAUAUCUUAGCUAAACGACCAAGGUAGACAGAGAGGAGAGCUUGGCCCAGAUCCUCAGUAGCAGUCAGCUGGUUGAAAGCACUCCAUUGUCCGGAGGUGCUUAGGAUUAUCCUUUUGGUAUAUAUGUAUAUUUUGGGCACGACGGAGUCUUGUUCCGUCCAUGUAUAUACAGUAUGUUAGUAGAGGCUCGUAGAUACGCAGUGUGGGUUAGAUGGUCUCACAAGACGUUUUCAUAUGCAUGUAUAUUAUUUUGAUGGCCGAAAGGCAAUUGUAUAUAAAGUAUUUAUGUUUGUUUAAUUAUGAUUUUCCUACAACUGGUAUGUAAAUUGAUAAAAGAAUAUUAAAUG